CCUACGGGGGGCAGCAGUGAGGAAUAUUGGUCAAUGGACGAGAGUCUGAACCAGCCAAGUAGCGUGAAGGAUGACUGCCCUAUGGGUUGUAAACUUCUUUUAUAUGGGAAUAAAAUGUUCCACGUGUGGGAUUUUGUAUGUAUCAUAUGAAUAAGGAUCGGCUAACUCCGUGCCAGCAGCCGCGGUAAUACGGAGGAUCCGAGCGUUAUCCGGAUUUAUUGGGUUUAAAGGGAGCGUAGGUGGAUUGUUAAGUCAGUUGUGAAAGUUUGCGGCUCAACCGUAAAAUUGCAGUUGAAACUGGCAGUCUUGAGUACAGUAGAGGUGGGCGGAAUUCGUGGUGUAGCGGUGGAAUGCUUAGAUAUCACGAAGAACUCCGAUUGCGAAGGCAGCUCACUGGACUGCAACUGACACUGAGGCUCGAAAGUGUGGGUAUCAAACAGGAUUAGAUACCCGAGUAGUC
rnacentral:rRNA from 1 species